rnacentral:rRNA from 1 species
UGAACGCUGGCGGCGUGCCUAAUACAUGCAAGUCGAGCGAACAGAUGAGGAGCUUGCUCCUCUGACGUUAGCGGCGGACGGGUGAGUAACACGUGGAUAACCUACCUAUAAGACUGGGAUAACUUCGGGAAACCGGAGCUAAUACCGGAUAAUAUAUUUAACCGCAUGGUUCCAUAGUGAAAGACGGUUUUGCUGUCACUUAUAGAUGGAUCCGCGCCGCAUUAGCUAGUUGGUAAGGUAACGGCUUACCAAGGCAACGAUGCGUAGCCGACCUGAGAGGGUGAUCGGCCACACUGGAACUGAGACACGGUCCAGACUCCUACGGGAGGCAGCAGUAGGGAAUCUUCCGCAAUGGGCGAAAGCCUGACGGAGCAACGCCGCGUGAGUGAUGAAGGUCUUCGGAUCGUAAAACUCUGUUAUUAGGGAAGAACAAAUGUGUAAGUAACUAUGCACGUCUUGACGGUACCUAAUCAGAAAGCCACGGCUAACUACGUG